rnacentral:rRNA from 1 species
CCUACGGGUGGCAGCAGUGGGGAAUAUUGGACAAUGGGGGCAACCCUGAUCCAGCCAUGCCGCGUGUGUGAAGAAGGCCCUCGGGUUGUAAAGCACUUUCAGUGAGGAAGAACGCCUGGUGGUUAAUACCCAUCAGGAAAGACAUCACUCACAGAAGAAGCACCGGCUAACUCCGUGCCAGCAGCCGCGGUAAUACGGAGGGUGCGAGCGUUAAUCGGAAUUACUGGGCGUAAAGCGCGCGUAGGUGGCUUGAUAAGCCGGUUGUGAAAGCCCCGGGCUCAACCUGGGAACGGCAUCCGGAACUGUCAAGCUAGAGUGCAGGAGAGGAAGGUAGAAUUCCCGGUGUAGCGGUGAAAUGCGUAGAGCUCGGGAGGAAUACCAGUGGCGAAGGCGGCCUUCUGGACUGACACUGACACUGAGGUGCGAAAGCGUGGGUAGCAAACAGGAUUAGAUACCCGUGUAGUC